rnacentral:rRNA from 1 species
CAGCCGCCACGGGAAUACAGAGGGUGCGAGCGUUAAUCGGAUUUACUGGGCGUAAAGCGUGCGUAGGCGGCUUUUUAAGUCGGAUGUGAAAUCCCUGAGCUUAACUUAGGAAUUGCAUUCGAUACUGGGAAGCUAGAGUAUGGGAGAGGAUGGUAGAAUUCCAGGUGUAGCGGUGAAAUGCGUAGAGAUCUGGAGGAAUACCGAUGGCGAAGGCAGCCAUCUGGCCUAAUACUGACGCUAAGGUACGAAAGCAUGGGGAGCAAACAGGAUUAGAUACCCCGGUAGUCCCUGUCUCUUAUAC